CUUAAAGACAAAAAAGCAUAUCUUUGUUUUCAUUAAUUUGUACGAUAUAGCCGGUUUUUACUGUGGCCUGCCAGUCAGCUGUUGAAUUCACCGCAAGGCCAAGCUUGAGACUCAACACAAACAAGGGAAUCCAUGGGAGAAUAUCAUGAGUUAAUUCAAGUCUUUAUUUUACUUUGUGUCCUACUCGAACAACUAUCAGGCUAACAAAUAUAUGUUAUGCAUAUAACAUAUAUAAACGCAUAUAUUGUGCUUUUAAUGUUAUGCAUAUUAUUUAUCCACACGAGAAAGAAACUAGUUAAAUUACUUAGUGGGAACUAAAUAAGAUCGGUGCCUGCAGGGUGGGGGAUCAAAACACCCAAUUUUCUUCUUGAAAGUCCACUUUCAACCUUAUAUGCCUAGGCUACUCCAGCACCAUUCAUGCAUACAUUUGUAAUGCUAUACUUGUAGGAUAAUGUGACCUGUUGGUCAAUGUUAUUCAACCAUGCUUGUUUUCUUAGAGCAGGUCACACAGACCCUGUCGUUUUCCACACUGCCCUUCUGUAUCUAGAGAUACAGUACUUUAUUUCUAUCAAGCUAUGAGCAUAUAGGUGGCGUACUUGAUCUUGUGGAUAGCCUUUCUCUUGGUCCAAGUCAGAGAUAAGUCUUAGCAAAGCCAUAUGUUGCCUCUUUGAAAGGAACAUGAACAGCUUUUUCUCAGAUCAAUACUCUGACACGUAAAAUAGAUCAAGAAGACUAUGGAACGCCGUUUGGGUCUUAAAGCACGUGGUCAAAACGCGAUCUUUUUUAUGCUACGUGUGUAAAGUAAACCGGUGCAGGCGCUAAAUUAACGCGUGCACAUGUUAAAUUAAUGUCUUCACGCGCUAAAUUGAUGCCUACACGCGUCAAAUAAGCGCGUGCAAAUGUGCUUGCAGGCGGUUCAACAUGCACUAAAUAAACGGCUGCAAGCGGUUCUGCACACUUCAAGUUAACACCUACACUAAUUUAACGCGUUCCUUAAUGUGCUAAUUUUACUAGCCAAUUUCCCUAGCUCCUCCUUUCUACCAGAUUUCAGUUUGAAGGAACUUCCUUUUCCACUGCAAGCAGAGUUUGAACCUUUACAAGGAAGACAAGCUACCUAAAUGUGACUUAUCGGCUAGUACUGAUAAAGCAGCAGAGAAGACCUGAUUCACCAAGUAUCAAUUCAUUUUGGUGAUUCUCACCUGGUUGGCAUGCUGCAUGCACAAGACACUUCAAUCUGACUCUUGUUUGACAUCAGGCAAAACGUCUUCAGCCACCGUAGGACGGAGACCCGCUGGUUGGCAUUUGACUGCAGUGUCUGUGGGUGUACCAGGAAAGGACGUUAGAAGUUAGGGCCCCAUGAUAUUGAAGCUUCUUACCGUCUCCACUGCAGCCCAGUCGAUAUAGAUUUUAAAAAAAUUAAAAAACUGGAACAAUAGAUUGUGCUACACUAUGUACAACUCCAGUUUGCCUAUUGUCCCAACAAAUGUAAAUUAUACAUCAGUGCAUUUUCUUUCAUAGCUCUGCUUUCACCGCCAUCCUUACCCACAAACUGGUUAGCAGGCUCUGGUUGUAAAUCCUGUAAUAACUAAUUUGAUUUUUUUACAUUAUAAGAAUGUGUAUCCCAGAAUGGACCCAACACUACCAUGGCACACAUGAGUACAUGAAGGAGCUGUGGGACCUGACAAGUCUCAGCAUAAGAAAAACAAAGUAGAUGGUGAUACUUGACCAUUCUCCCAUCUACUGUACAUUGACAUGGAGAUGAUCAGCAGCUUCAAGUUCCUGGGCACCCUGAUAUCCUUUUCUGCCCUCAGUUACUCCACUCAAAGUCUCACUUGUGCUUCCACUACCCUCAAACUUACUGCACCAUGACCUAUGUACCAACUACGGUGUCUUAUUGCCAUAACACAUGUAAAUGAAAUGUCCAUAUUUACUGUAAGAUUUAUGGUAACAUUGCACAUAUUGUAACAUAGUCCCUUGACAUACAUGACUUAACUACUUUGCAUAAUGCUCAGUUUACCCACUAAGAAAUCAUACAUUUAAAUAUUAAAGCUGCAUUAUGUA